rnacentral:rRNA from 1 species
UACGAAGGACCCGAGCGUUAUCCGGAUUUAUUGGGUUUAAAGGGUGCGUAGGCGUCCUGGAAAGUUACGGUUGAAAUCUCCUUGCUCAACAAGGAAACUGGCCGUAAAACUAUCAGGAUUGAGUACAUUUGAAGCGGGCGGAAUGUGUCAUGUAGCGGUGAAAUGCUUAGAUAUGACACAGAACACCAAUUGCGAAGGCAGCUCGCUAAACUGUAACUGACGCUGAGGCACGAAAGCGUGGGGAUCAAACAGGAUUAGAUACCCUGGUAGUCCACGCCCUAAACGAUGAUUACUCGAUGUGUGCGAUACACUGUACGCGUCUGAGCGAAAGCAUUAAGUAAUCCACCUGGGGAGUACGAUCGCAAGAUUGAA